UAGGGAAUCUUUCACAAUGGGCGAAAGCCUGAUGGAGCAACGCCGCGUGUGUGAUGAAGGGUUUCGGCUCGUAAAACACUGUUGUAAGAGAAGAAUGACAUUGAGAGUAACUGUUCAAUGUGUGACGGUAUCUUACCAGAAAGGAACGGCUAAAUACGUGCCUG
rnacentral:rRNA from 1 species